CGCAUGACGUAACUGGCAUUGGUCUCCAGAAGGUGUAACCCUUUUCAGGAUCAAUGCAGUGUCCAUCUUUAAGUUCGCAGGCGGCUCCUUAUUUCAAAUGUAUUUUUCCUAAUGCUAAGUGUACUGAUUGCAUUCUCCGGAGUCCAGAAGUGAAACAGAUGUAACGUUGAGGUGAUGACCUCCGCAAUCAUAGCCGAUCAAUGCAAAGGUUGAAGUUGUUAGCAGUAACAGAAGGGUAAUAGGAAUCAUCGUCGUUUCUCUCUUGUGUAUGCAGAAUGGAAUUAAAGGCAUAGAGGGUAUCGCUCGGGCGCUUAUAUAUAAUGUGUGAGUAUACAGUAAGAUAUAUACAUAUAUUCAUGCUAUGUAUUCUA